rnacentral:rRNA from 1 species
AAGGAUCAUUAACGUAUUUUGAAUCAAGGGGGAACGUGGUCCGUUCCGUCCGGCCAAGGGCGCCUUCUCCACUUGCGGUGGAGAAGCAAUUUCCGGCCCGCGAGGAGCGCAUCCGCCCUCUGGGGGACGUAGUUUGGGCACUGAGCAAGCGUGCCUUCAAGAUCCGGCUUCGUGAACGUGCCGCCUCGGGCCUUUUGGGUGACGUAGUUGGGUUCCGCGGACGAGAUGCCUCGUGCCUUCUGGGGGGGAUGCUUAAGUUGGGGUCCGCAAACGGACAAUCCCCCCCCCUCAGGGGCAUGUUUGGGUGGAGCACGCGAGCGGAACACACUGAUCCCAGGGGGGACGUAGUUGGGUAUGCGAGCGCGGAGGAUCGCCUCCCAGAGGGGGACUUCCAAACAGCUUUGUUGUUCUGGGUUCUCGCAAGGGCGGCCUCGGCCCCCGCAUUCUAAUCCACUUUAACACCUGUGCACCUUUAGGCGAGCGCCCUCCAUUUGGAGCCGUCUGGCGUUUCGGCGUCGGACCGGGGCGCUCUCCGCCCCAAACACACCACUGCCUGUCUUGUAACGCAUGUAAACCGCCCCAAGGGGCGAUAAAGUUAAUACAACUUUCAACAACGGAUCUCUUGGCUUUCGCAUCGAUGAAGAACGCCGCGAAAGUGCGAAACGUAAUGUGAAUUGCAGAAUUCAGUGAAUCAUCGAAUCUUUGAACGCAUCUUGCGCUCCUUGGUAUUCCGAGGAGCAUGCCUGUUUGAGUGUCGUGAAACCCUCUCGGACCUGCCUCUUUUGCCGGGGCGGGUUUGGAUUUGGACGCCUGCGGGUCGCCGCUCGUCUUUAAAUGCAUUAGCUGGUCCCUUUGCGGUCGGUCCGAACGACGGUGUGAUAACAAAAUGCUUAGUGCGCCGUUCGUCGCCUGGCCUGGGUCGCUUAGAGCCGUCCUCCUAGGACAACCUUCAUGUCAUCUGACCUCAAAUCAGGUAGGACUACCCGCCGAACUUAA